AUCGUGGUCAGAAACAUUGUUGUCACCGUCCCUUCCUUUCUCUGGGCUGACCUUGGAACGUGGGAGCAGAAGCUGUCCAGGAUGCCAGAUGCCACCCACUCCAGCCUUGGGAGGUGCUCAGUCCAUUCCUCCUUCUGAUCUACAAGAACAGAAGAACAAAGUCUCUUUUCAUUGCAGCUUCUUUUCUCAGCCCUAAAAUAGCUUGGGUUUGCUAUCAGCAACCCUCCUUUCCAACUUUCUCAUUCAGAAGCAAAAGGUUUUUAAACCUGA